GACUGCAGGAGGAAAUACAGGAGGCCCGGGGCCAGGACAAUGCUAAGGAGCUGAGGCCAAGCGCUUUGGAGAAAAGGCGACGAGAGAAGGAGCGGGACCGGAAGAGGAAGCGAAAGAGCUGCGGCAAAAAGGGAAGGGAGCAAAGGCCAAGGCCGAGAGGGCCGAGGGCCGGGGCGGCGAUCAAGCCCACCCAGAGGUGGCCUGCAAGGAGCCGCAGGAGCCGUCGGGGCUGGUCGUCCACAAGGUGGAGGUGAAUGAGCACGAGCCGGCCAGCAAGGCGCAAAGAGGAGGAACAGGCAGGAGCUGAAGGGGAGCCUCGCGCAGCGGAAAGGGAGGAAGUCCGGGCGCUGCUGAACUCCGGGGCCGGGACCAGCGGAAGGCACGAGAGCUGGAGGCCAACGUGAAGGGGCCGCGGACAGACCUGCCGAACCAGGCGGAGGGCGCGACAAUCCGGAACGCCUAGCGCCUGCCCUAGGGGCUUGAGGCGCAGGGAGAAGCGCGGGAGCGGCGGCGGCGGCGCCGCCAGCGGGAGGAGCGCGGGGCGGACGAGGUGGAGAAGAAGCGGCGGCGCCAAAACCUAAGCAGGAAGAAGGCGGCCAGCUCCCCGCGCUCCCUGCACUGGGCCCGCAAGGGGACGAUCCCGUCCAGGACCUGGAGCGCGCCGGCCUCG
rnacentral:lncRNA from 10 species